rnacentral:rRNA from 1 species
CCCUUAGAUGUUCUGGGCCGCACGCGCGCUACACUGACGAUGGCAACGAGUUUUUCCUUCGCCGAAAGGUGUGGGUAAUCUUUUGAAACAUCGUCGUGCUGGGGAUAGAUCAUUGCAAUUUUUGAUCUUGAACGAGGAAUUCCUAGUAAGCGCGAGUCAUCAGCUCGCGUUGAUUACGUCCCUGCCCUUUGUACACACCGCCCGUCGCACCUACCGAUUGAACGUUCCGGUGAGACCUUGGGAUUUGGUCUUUGAUACUUUAUUGUGUCGUUGACCGAAAAACUUGAGCAAACCUUAACGUUUAGAGGAAGGUGAAGUCGUAACA